rnacentral:sRNA from 1 species
UAUUACGAUUCAGAGGCCAAAGACCGGG